AUCCUUCGGUUCAUAAGCGUGAUGAUUGGGUGUUCACGCUCUUGUGUGAGAUGUGCCUCCCUCUAAACCUUGUUAUGACAUCGGCACUCCUCACCGUGGAUU
rnacentral:snoRNA from 1 species